rnacentral:misc_RNA from 1 species
UUGCCAUGUGUAUGUGGG